UCGAUUGGCGGACGGGUGAGUAAUGCUUGGGAACUUGCCUUCAGGAGGGGGAUAACAGUUGGAAACGACUGCUAAUACCGCAUAAUGUCUCCGGACCAAAGCGGGCUUCGGCUCGCACCUGAAGAGAGGCCCAAGUGAGAUUAGCUAGUUGGUAAGGUAAAGGCUUACCAAGGCGACGAUCUCUAGCUGUUCUGAGAGGAAGAUCAGCCACACUGGGACUGAGACACGGCCCAGACUCCUACGGGAGGCAGCAGUGGGGAAUAUUGCACAAUGGGGGAAACCCUGAUGCAGCCAUGCCGCGUGUGUGAAGAAGGCCUUCGGGUUGUAAAGCACUUUCAGUUGUGAGGAAAGGUUGGUAGUUAAUACCUGCCAGCUGUGACGUUAACAACAGAAGAAGCACCGGCUAACUCCGUGCCAGCAGCCGCGGUAAUACGGAGGGUACGAGCGUUAAUCGGAAUUACUGGGCGUAAAGCGCACGCAGGCGGUUUGUUAAGCUAGAUGUGAAAGCCCCGGGCUCAACCUGGGAUGGUCAUUUAGAACUGGCAGACUAGAGUCUUGGAGAGGGGAGUGGAAUUCCAGGUGUAGCGGUGAAAUGCGUAGAUAUCUGGAGGAACAUCAGUGGCGAAGGCGACUCCCUGGCCAAAGACUGACGCUCAUGUGCGAAAGUGUGGGUAGCGAACAGGAUUAGAUACCCUGGUAGUCCACACCGUAAACGCUGUCUACUAGCUGUGUGUGUCUUUAAGACGUGCGUAGCGAAGCUAACGCGCUAAGUAGACCGCCU
rnacentral:rRNA from 1 species